rnacentral:rRNA from 1 species
GACGAACGCUGGCGGCGUGCUUAACACAUGCAAGUCGAACGGAAAGGCCCCUUUGGGGGUACUCGAGUGGCGAACGGGGGAGUAACACGUGAGUAACCUGCGCUUGACUUCGGGAUAACAUCAGGAAACAGGGGCUAAUACCGGAUAGGAAUCCUUGCUGCAUGGUGGGGGUGGGAAAGCUUCGGCGGUUUUGGAUGGACUCGCGGCUUAUCAGCUUGUUGGUGGGGUAGUGGCUUACCAAGGCUUUGACGGGUAGCCGGCCUGAGAGGGCGACCGGCCACAUUGGGACUGAGAUACGGCCCAGACUCCUACGGGAGGCAGCAGUGGGGAAUAUUGCACAAUGGGCGGAAGCCUGAUGCAGCAACGCCGCGUGCGGGAUGACGGCCUUCGGGUUGUAAACCGCUUUCAGCAGGGGCGAAGCUUGUGGUGACGGUACCUGCAGAAGAAGCACCGGCUAACUACGUG